UCUUUUUAACAGAGGAAUUCCAGGUACGUUCAUACCCAUGAGCCCGGCAAAGAAAGAAGAAUAGUGGGAGACUCGACAGAAGGACUGACUCCACCCUCAAAACUCAUUAAAAGUGUCGCUUUUACCCCAAACCGUCGAACGCCUUUAUUUCAGGCGCAAGAGAGAAGAAGGUGGAGGAGAGGGGAGCGGGGGAAGGAGCUUCGGAUCUCGAGUGUGGGGCGAUUGGACGCGGGCCAGGGCGUAAGUGUACACGCGGCCGUGAUUGCGCGAGGAGAAUGUAAUUAGUGACGGGACGUUGGCGGCGAUCCCUACCCGCGGCUUGCUGGCCUGCGCGAUAUCCGGGACAAACUCGGCGGGAAUCCGUGGAGCCCGGGACUGUGUGGCUGUUUGCGGAACGUUUCCGUGCGAUUAUGCGCGCGGCUAGGCCCGCGCGAGUAAGCUGUUGAAGCG